UACGUAGGGGGCUAGCGUUGCUCGGAAUUACUGGGCGUAAAGGGCGCGUAGGCGGUUUGCUUAGUCAGACGUGAAAUUCCUGGGCUUAACCUGGGGGCUGCGUUUGAUACGUGCGGACUUGAGUGGGGAAGAGGGUCGUGGAAUUCCCAGUGUAGAGGUGAAAUUCGUAGAUAUUGGGAAGAACACCGGUGGCGAAGGCGGCGACCUGGUCCUUGACUGACGCUGAGGCGCGAAAGCGUGGGGAGCAAGCAGG
rnacentral:rRNA from 1 species